rnacentral:misc_RNA from 1 species
UAAAAAGACAGAUGCUCUCAAAAGUCAAACCCACAUCCAAUAUUUGUGAACCCAAGACUUUUACCAUGCACCAAACAAUGGUACCUAACCUAAUAAAGUAGCUCUCAUAAAAAGGUAACCAUCUUUAAGAGCAAAGAAUGACAAGAUGGAAUUACAAUGUAUAGAAAGCAAAAUAACAAAUACGUGGAGAAGACAAAAUAGGAGACAGCAAAAACAAGUAGCCAAAUUCAGUGGCCUAUGCUAUCCUUCUG